rnacentral:tRNA from 2 species
GCAUGGGUGGUUCAGUGGUAGAAUUCUCGCCUGCCACGCGGGAGGCCCGGGUUCGAUUCCCGGACCAUGCA